rnacentral:ncRNA from 1 species
GGAGUGGAGCCUGCGGCUUAAUUUGACUCAACACGGGAAACCUCACCCGGCCCGGACACGGACAGGAUUGACAGAUUGAUAGCUCUUUCUCGAUUCCGUGGGUGGUGGUGCAUGGCCGUUCUUAGUUGGUGGAGCGAUUUGUCUGGUUAAUUCCGAUAACGAACGAGACUCUGGCAUGCUAACUAGUUACGCGACCCCCGAGCGGUCGGCGUCCCCCAACUUCUUAGAGGGACAAGUGGCGUUCAGCCACCCGAGAUUGAGCAAUAACAGGUCUGUGAUGCCCUUAGAUGUCCGGGGCUGCACGCGCGCUACACUGACUGGCUCAGCGUGUGCCUACCCUACGCCGGCAGGCGCGGGUAACCCGUUGAACCCCAUUCGUGAUGGGGAUCGGAGAGUGCAAUUAUUCCCCAUGAACGAGGAAUCCC